rnacentral:rRNA from 1 species
GACAGAGGGGGCAAGCGUUGCUCGGAAUUACUGGGCGUAAAGGGCGCGUAGGCGGGAUGGCAAGUCGGUCGUGAAAUCCCUCGGCUCAACCGAGGAACGUCGAUCGAUACUGCUGUUCUUGAGGAUUGCAGAGGAGACUGGAAUUCCCGGUGUAGCGGUGAAAUGUGUAGAGAUCGGGAGGAACACCGGUGGCGAAGGCGGGUCUCUGGGCCGAUAUUGACGCUGAGGAGCGAAAGUGUGGGGAGCGAACAGG